rnacentral:tRNA from 1 species
CGGGCUGUAGCGCAGCGGUUAGCGUACAAGUCUGGGGGACUUGGGGUCGGCGGUUCGAAUCCGCCCAGCCCGA